AAUACACAUCAGAAUGAUUUUCAUUUCUGUCUUUUCAAUUUUGCUUACAGAUGCAGUUCAGGAAGUUCAGGCUGACUGGAAAGUGCAUAUAAAAAUGCAAUCAUUAUUCAAGGUAGAUGAAACCAGUCUUUUCACCCUUUAGUUUCCACCAGAGAACCAGGUGGUUCAGUCUCCACGAAAAGUGCGUGUCAUGAUGGUUCUUAAGACUGCCUGUCAGUGGUGCUUGGUGAACUCUGGGGAUCUUCUUGGCUCACUUCAGCUAUCUCGUAUACUGUGCAUGGAGGAUGAAGAAGCUACUGAGGCCUUGGAAUGGUUCUUCAGUGUAGAGUUCAUAGAAGACAAUCUUGUAGAGCCACUGAUAUUUGUUUUUACAUUUAUGUAGGACAUUUCGGUGCUGCCCUUGUCCACCCUCCAAGAACUGUAUACAUCUAGAGCAGGGGUGGGGAACCUUGAUCCUGGAGGGCCACUGUCCUGCAGUGUUUAUCGCCAACCCAAUCAAACACACCUGAACCAGCUCAUUAAAGUCAUCAGAGUUACUAGAAACUUCACAACAGGAGUGUGUUUGAGCUAGUUGGAGCUAAACUCUGCAGGACAGUGGCCCUCCAGGAUCAAAGUUCCCCACCUCUGAUCUCGAGUAAGAAAAGCCAUCAUCUCUUUGAACUGUUGCUGUCUGGUCGGCGCUAAAGAGCAAUAAAUCACCAAAACAACCAGACACAAAAAAAAAGUUUCUUCCCUCACGCAAUCUACGCAAUGAACAGUUAAAUGUUCUACCCACUGUGCAAUUAAUAACAUUGUGCAAUAGUAACAAUGUGUAAUAGUAAUUAUAGCCACCUGAUAAUAUAAUUUUUGUGUAAAUAUUUUUUUGUUAUGCUGUAUAGAUCACAUAUUUUGUACAUACAAUAUAUACACAAAUAGUUUUACACUGUCUUAUUUUUAUUCUAUUCUUUUUUAUAUAUAGAUAACCUGUGUGUUGCUGUUUUUGUGCACUGGAUGCUUCUUUCACCAAAACAAAUUUCUUGUAUGGGCAGAUAGCCUAUAUUUCGCAAUAAAGCUCUUUCUGGUUCUGUAUUUUUAGAGAAUGUCACGAACGGGUGGUGAGACAAGGAGAGAGGACCCAAACGCAGACAGCGGGUAAGGGGUAUUAACAAGACAUGUAUUAACAAAAAUACAAAACAAAGGCCCACGUGGGGGUAACAUAACAAAACAGGGGAAUCUACAACAGGACAGGACUAAGACUAAUUACACCUAACAAGACUAAGAUUAACAUAAACAUGAACUACAAAUGACUACGCUAGACUGACACGGAACAGGCACUCACCAUACAAGUGACACAUACACGCACAAUGAACCAGCACAGGACAGAGAACAAAGGGGCAUUAAAUAAGGGAUCAAAUCAAGAGGGGACAGGUGUAGGGCAUGAAACCAAUAAUGAGGAGACGAGAGGGCUGGAACAGAGAUGAGACCAGAGAGAGUAUGGCAAGCCAAAAGGGCCAAAACUCCUCUAUCCACAUGAAACAAGAGGUUCUGUCAUGCUUCUGCCACUAGAUCAAUAACAGCAAGACGAGAUGGGGCAGAACCAUGACAGAGAAUGCGGUGGACAACAUGCAUCUCAGAAUCUUUUGUCAAGCACAAAAUUGAAAAAGAAAAAAUUUAAUGUAAUGAUUUUAUAUUAUACAUGGAAAAGUUUUAUUUAAUUAUGUAAUAAUGUUAAUUAGUAAUGUAUAUUGCCAUUAUAACCUUUUACGUGGGCACAUAUGCAAAGUAAUCUGACAUUUUUAGUGUAGAUGUUCAAUAAUGUCUUUCAGCUGUAACUGUAUAUAAAUCCCGGCCGUGACCUGAAUCGCCAGUCUUUAUGGUACUCUUAAAAAGAAAAAAAUAAUAAUUAUUUAAAAAUAAUGAUUUUAGACUCCACUUCAUGAAAUACUUUUUCAUUUUCAUGUAUUUUCAGGCGGUUUUAACAGGAAGUUAUUUUAUAUCAUGCCGUUAGUUUGCACACAGUAUUUUGACCCACUGCAAAGUACGCAUGUGUGGCUGAGAGUGCAUGUGUCUAAGUGCGCAUACACGGCUGAGAGUGCAUGUGCGGCUGCGAGAGUGCAUGUGCGGCUGUGAGAAGGGUCUGCAGCCAUCUUUGUGCGCAAGAUAAAUGGCAGGCAGUCCGUGCAUGUCAUUAAUGCUGCGCACAUUCGAGUUAUGCUCUAUGGAUCAUCAGUACUGUUGUGCGUUUUCGUUAUGACGUAUUGCUAUGGAUCAUUUUGUUAUGCUCUAUUGCAAUGAAUUUGCAUUAUUUUUGCACAUUCUCGUUAUGCUGUAUUUUG